GAUGAACGCUGGCGGCGUGCCUAAUACAUGCAAGUCGAGCGAACAGACGAGGAGCUUGCUCCGCUGACGUUAGCGGCGGACGGGUGAGUAACACGUGGAUAACCUACCUAUAAGACUGGGGUAACUCCAGGGAACCGGAGCUAAUACCGGAGAAUAUAUUGAACAGCAGGGUUAAAUAGUGAAAUAGGGUUUUGCUGUUGCUUAUAGAUGGAUCCGCGCCGCAUUAGCUAGUUGGUAAGGUAACGGCCUACCAAGGCAACGAUGCGUAGCCGGCCUGAGAGGGUGAUCGGCCACACUGGGACUGAGACACGGUCCAGACUCCUACGGGAGGCAGCAGUGGGGAAUCUUGCGCAAUGGGCGAAAGCCUGACCGAGCAACGCCGCGUGAGUGAUGAAGGCCUUCGGAUCGUAAAACUCUGUUGUUAGGGAAGAACAAAUGUGUACGUAACCAUGCGCGUGUUGACGGUACCUGAUGAGAAAGCACCGGCUAACUACGUG
rnacentral:rRNA from 1 species